CGUCCUGGGGCGUGGGAGCGACGGGCAGCCUGCGGGAGAGCGUCCAGCGGAACCUGCCCGUGUUUCCCAACUGCCCUGCGCGGUGGAGGCGCACUCGAGUGACCCCAAUAGCAGGAGUGCAGUCACCCCUGGGGGCAGAGCUGGGCGAGGCUGAGCUGAGAAGGCUCGGUCUAAGUGGGGCUUGCGAUCAUAAACGCGACCCCAGGCAAGUGCCCCGACCUUCCCAGCUAGCCCUCGGAGGGUCUGGGUCGUUUCCUCCGGCCCAGGGCGUGCAUUAAAAUAAUGUAGGGGGGAAGCGGGGCGGGCCGUGGUGAGAUGAUGUAAAAAGUCUCCAUCCUCGUUUCCGGGCGCAGUUCACCUCCUGAAAUAAACGCCACGUGCAAAUGCGCACCAUCCGCUUUCUGGGAUUGAUAGCAAACACAGAAGGUCGCCUAACAGCCUUAAUCACUUCUGCAUGUGCCGUUUUCGGGCGAGGGCACGCGGGGAACGAAGUUGAUCACCCUUCGAACUUGCCGCAGUUCCGGGAUGUGCCCCCUUCUGGCGCAGCUUGUCCUCCCGCGGUUCGCCCUCCCCACACGCUGUUUGGGAAAUCUCAACACUUAAUUUAUAACUUUAUUAAUUUUUGUAUUCGGGAGGGCGGAGUCACGUCCCGAAGCCAAGUUUAUGCAAAUAAGGACUGUCACCGAACGACCCCGGGGUUUGAAAUGCAAAGGGAAGGGGGCCACGCCCGGCGUCCGCCCAGGCAGCUGGAAUUCCCUGUUCUUUCUGAACACUCGAAAAUGCAAUGGCUGCGCUCGCAGGUUAAAGAUACCUGCAGGUAUUUGUGGAUGUAGUAAUCAAGUCUCAAUUCCAGCUCUUCCGGGGACAUGAUUCCUAAAUAUCCAACCCCAGUGGUCUUUAUCUGGCCCAGCUGCUUCUGAUGUGGAGAGGAAUGUGGCACAUCAAGUGUGUGAACACUGCCUCCAUUGUAUCCAGACCAGCGAUGGAAGCCGGGAUAAUUGGCAUGUAACCUUCUCUAUUAACAGUGCAGACAGAUAUGUGAAUUCGCUGAAUCCCUUCGACAUAUGCCAUGCAUUAGCUAAAGGGGCUUAGAGUUCUCCUGACAUCUUGGCGAUUCACUGAUAAUUAGGCUUUCGGACUUGAUAACUUUGUGGGGAAAAUCAAUAAAUAAUAGUGAAGUUCAGUACUUUCUCUGAA